rnacentral:rRNA from 1 species
UACGGGGGGGGCAAGCGUUGUUCGGAAUUACUGGGCGUAAAGGGCUCGUAGGUGGCCAACUAAGUCAGACGUGAAAUCCCUCAGCUUAACUGGGGGAACUGCGUUCUGAUACUGGAUGGCUUGAGUUUGGGAGAGGGAUGCGGAAUUCCAGGUGUAGCGGUGAAAUGCGUAGAUAUCUGGAGGAACACCGGUGGCGAAGGCGGCAUCCUGGACCAACACUGACACUGAGGAGCGAAAGGCCAGGGGAGCAAACCGGGAGUUA